rnacentral:lncRNA from 1 species
UGUCGAUCUCCUUUUUCUAUUAUAAGAGAUCCAAAUAUACUUUCAUCCCAUGACACAAUAAUUCUGUAUGGGCUAUAGUUGGACAAAUUUAUUCCGUGAUCUGCUGUGGAGACCUUCUCUUGCACUCACUAUAGCUUGAUGCAGGUUCCAAUCUCCCGUUGCUACCUUUACCAAAAAAAAAAAAUCUCCCGUUGCUACCUCUCAAGGCAGCUUUGAAUACCCAGAUUGAAUUGCUGGGUAUCUGCCUCUAGAGUGAGCUGCCAUCUUCCGUGGACCCACUAGCAAUAAUGCUUGCUGUCACAAACUCAAAUGCGAUAAUAGGCUUGGCGGCAGAGGCGAGAAUUAU